rnacentral:rRNA from 1 species
CCUACGGGAGGCAGCAGUGAGGAAUAUUGGUCAAUGGGCGGAAGCCUGAACCAGCCAAGUAGCGUGCAGGAUGACGGCCCUACGGGUUGUAAACUGCUUUUAUACGGGAAUAACGCGCCUUACGUGUACUGCUUUUCGUGUAUCGUAUGAGUAAGGACCCGCUAAUUCCGUGCCAGCGGCAGCGGUAUUACGGAAGGUCCGGGCGUUAUCCGGAUUUAUUGGGUUUAAGGGGAGCGUAGGCCGCAUGUCAAGCGUGCUGUGAAAUGUCCGGGCUCAACCGGGGCAUUGCAGGGUGAACUGGAGUGCUUGAGUCCGCGGAAGGAAGGCGGAAUUCGUGGUGUAGCGGUGAAAUGCUUAGAUAUGACGAAGAACCCCGAUUGCGAAGGCAGCUGGCUGCAGCGGAACUGACGCUGAUGCUCGAAAGCGCGGGUAUCGAACAGGAUUAGAUACCCUGGUAGUC